CGGACGGGUGAGUAAUGUCUGGGAAACUGCCCGAUGGAGGGGGAUGACUACUGGAAACGGUAGCUAAUACCGCAUAACGUCGCAAGACCAAAGAGGGGACCUUAGGGCCUCUUGCCAUCGGAUGUGCCCAGAUGGGAUUAGCUAGUAGGUGGGGUAACGGCUUACCUAGGCGACGAUCCCUAGCUGGUCUGAGAGGAUGAUCAGCCACACUGGGACUGAGACACGGCCCAG
rnacentral:rRNA from 1 species